GUAAUUAUAUAAUGAUAUUACAGGUGGAUUUAUUACGAAAAUAAAGAUUACAACAAGGAAUUCCAAGGAAAGAUUCAUUAUGUGCACGGCAUAGAAUAUUCAACGGACUUUCCCACUAAGUUCAGAAAUAUGGCAUCUUCAGCCCGCUUCACCGGCCACAGGGACAUCCUGAACGCCGACAUCUGGAACAUCUACGAAGGGCAGUACUUCACCGGAAGGGAGAUUUUCGGAACGAACGACACGGCCACCCUGGGAGAGCUUGACCUUCAAGUUUCUUCGAUUGUGGUCACGGGUACAAGCGCUUGGACUGUGUACACAGGCCAAUCCUUCACGGGCGAAGGGGUCUGCGUUUAUCCUGCCACAUU